rnacentral:rRNA from 1 species
AGAGUUUGAUCAUGGCUCAGAUUGAACGCUGGCGGCAGGCCUAACACAUGCAAGUCGAGCGGUAGCACAGAGAGCUUGCUCUCGGGUGACGAGCGGCGGACGGGUGAGUAAUGUCUGGGAAACUGCCUGAUGGAGGGGAUAACUACUGGAAACGGUAGCUAAUACCGCAUAAUGUCGCAAGACCAAAGUGGGGACCUUCGGGCCUCAUGCCAUCAGAUGUGCCCAGAUGGGAUUAGCUAGUAGGUGGGGUAACGGCUCACCUAGGCGACGAUCCCUAGCUGGUCUGAGAGGAUGACCAGCCACACUGGAACUGAGACACGGUCCAGACUCCUACGGGAGGCAGCAGUGGGGAAUAUUGCACAAUGGGCGCAAGCCUGAUGCAGCCAUGCCGCGUGUGUGAAGAAGGCCUUCGGGUUGUAAAGCACUUUCAGCGGGGAGGAAGGCGGUGAGGUUAAUAACCUCAUCGAUUGACGUUACCCGCAGAAGAAGCACCGGCUAACUCCGUGCCAGCAGCCGCGGUAAUACGGAGGGUGCAAGCGUUAAUCGGAAUUACUGGGCGUAAAGCGCACGCAGGCGGUCUGUCAAGUCGGAUGUGAAAUCCCCGGGCUCAACCUGGGAACUGCAUUCGAAACUGGCAGGCUAGAGUCUUGUAGAGGGGGGUAGAAUUCCGGUGUAGCGGUGAAAUGCGUAGAGAUCUGGAGGAAUACCGGUGGCGAAGGCGGCCCCCCGGACAAAGACUGACGCUCAGGUGCGAAAGCGUGGGGAGCAAACAGGAUUAGAUACCUGGUAGUCCACGCCGUAAACGAUGUCGAUUUGGAGGUUGUGCCCUUGAGGCGUGGCUUCCGGAGCUAACGCGUUAAAUCGACCGCCUGGGGAGUACGGCCGCAAGGUUAAAACUCAAAUGAAUUGACGGGGGCCCGCACAAGCGGUGGAGCAUGUGGUUUAAUUCGAUGCAACGCGAAGAACCUUACCUGGUCUUGACAUCCACAGAACUUUCCAGAGAUGGAUUGGUGCCUUCGGGAACUGUGAGACAGGUGCUGCAUGGCUGUCGUCAGCUCGUGUUGUGAAAUGUUGGGUUAAGUCCCGCAACGAGCGCAACCCUUAUCCUUUGUUGCCAGCGGUUAGGCCGGGAACUCAAAGGAGACUGCCAGUGAUAAACUGGAGGAAGGUGGGGAUGACGUCAAGUCAUCAUGGCCCUUACGACCAGGGCUACACACGUGCUACAAUGGCAUAUACAAAGAGAAGCGACCUCGCGAGAGCAAGCGGACCUCAUAAAGUAUGUCGUAGUCCGGAUUGAGUCUGCAACUCGACUCCAUGAAGUCGGAAUCGCUAGUAAUCGUAGAUCAGAAUGCUACGGUGAAUACGUUCCCGGGCCUUGUACACACCGCCCGUCACACCAUGGGAGUGGGUUGCAAAAGAAGUAGGUAGCUUAACCUUCGGGAGGGCGCUUACCACUUUGUGAUUCAUGACUGGGGUGAAGUCGUAACAAGGUAACCGUAGGGGAACCUGCGGUUG